GAUGCCAGUCCUCCAAGUAUACCACACCACCAUGCAUAAUGUGAUCCAGACAUAAGUCAUAUAUUCUCUAUAUAUUUUGGUUUUAGAACUGUAAGGGAAAGAAACUCUCUUUCAACAAGAUACAUGUGACCUAAAUGAAAAAGUGGUACGCAAGCGCAUGCAUGAUGAUCCUACAAAGAACUUUCGUCGAACAAGAAUCCCAUAAGUUUUCCUUUGAACAUUCCUUAUAUCGUAUGAAGAAAAAAUCCACCAAAGAAUAUAUUUUGAAAAGGUCACCAAUUCCACCAAUAACACGCACAAUUAUCUCAGAUAAUGUAACUUUGCUUCAUUUCCCUCCUAAAUUAGUGGUUGAUUGCACGAAUUCCACUACAACUGCGCGCGCUGCCCAUUUACGUCUCUGGUGACGUGUAUGUAUAAAAAAACUGUAUCAAUUAAUGUUAGAAUAUUUAUCUAUAUAGCAUAUGAUAAUGUUUAAUCACAUGCCCACUACAUAUCCUCAUUGUGUUUUUCACCGUCUACAUAUCAUUAUAAGACACUUGUCUCUUGA